AGUGAACGCUGGCGGUAGGCCUAACACAUGCCGGUCGAACGGCAGCACAGUAAGAGCUUGCUCUUACGGGUGGCGAGUGGCGGACGGGUGAGGAAUACAUCGGAAUCUACUUUUUCGUGGGGGAUAACGUAGGGAAACUUACGCUAAUACCGCAUACGACCUACGGGUGAAAGCAGGGGAUCUUCGGACCUUGCGCGAUUGAAUGAGCCGAUGUCGGAUUAGCUAGUUGGCGGGGUAAAGGCCCACCAAGGCGACGAUCCGUAGCUGGUCUGAGAGGAUGAUCAGCCACACUGGAACUGAGACACGGUCCAGACUCCUACGGGAGGCAGCAGUGGGGAAUAAUGGACAAUGGGCGCAAGCCUGAUCCAGCCAUACCGCGUGGGUGAAGAAGGCCUUCGGGUUGUAAAGCCCUUUUGUUGGGAAAGAAAAGCAGCAGGUUAAUACCCCGCUGUUCUGACGGUACCCAAAGAAUAAGCACCGGCUAACUUCGUG
rnacentral:rRNA from 1 species